AAGAUAUGCUCUAAUAAUUUUGUACAUCAUACGAAAUACUUUCCAGGAUCAGUACAGGAUUUGCUUUGCAGCAAAGAUACAAUUGUGACAAUAAUUUAUUAGCAGAAGCGUGUGAAGCUUUACAAAUUUUAAAAACCAAGGCAAGAAGACACUAUCAGGUAUAUCAUUCACCUUUUUAUAUCUUCAUGUAAUGACUAAUUUUUUGUACUUCUCUAAAAUAUACAUUUGAAAGAUUGCCCUUUGUAAAUAUUACAAAACCAAAUAAUUUUACGUGUAGUGCUAAAAAUGACUUUGAGAGUACUUCGCCGUAGUAAUUCCCAUGGAGCAAUUGUCGUGCACUGAGAAACAACCACACUGUCACACCAAUAAUGCCAUACGCUGCAGCUCGAACCAUGCAACACAACAAUCCUGAAAAGCAUGAUUGAUAAGAAUUAUAGGUUGUUUCUACAUGCAGCCAGCAUCUCUUAUUUAGUGCAUACAUUGUUUUGUUUACGACAUUAUGCAUAAAGUACCUUUCAAAUAUUUGAUACUAUAUUGCUAAAAGAAUAUCAAAUGCAGAAAUGAAGGGACAGUAUACGUCAAAAUCAGCAGGCCCACUUGCAAAAGAAGCUAAAGAAGCUAUUAUCAGGAGGAAACAACAACUACAAGAAAAAAGGAGUAAGAGAUGCAGGAAUACACAGGAAACAACCAAUAAAAUAGAAGAAGAUGCUUCACGAAAGAGAAAGGAACAAAUCAAUGAAAUAAGAGAUGUCAAGCGUUCAAGGAGAAAUGGGAGGGACAAUGACCUUCAAAGCAACAUCAUAGAAACAAGCAGCAGCACUACGUCCAGAAGUUAUGAUAGCACGAUAUGGAACUUUGGAAAGCCAACAUAUAGAUGCGAACAUUGCAAUGCAAUACUAUGGUGUGAGGAAAGAUUAAAUUCUCAUAAAGGAACCAAAAAACCUUCUUUCGGAAUUUGCUGUAAACAAGGUAAGAUUGACCUACCAAAGAUAGCAUAUCCUCCACCUUAUCUCGCAGGACUAUUAACAGGUGAAGGAAGUGAUGCAACAAACUUCAAAGAAAACAUCAGGUCAUACAACUCAAUGUUCUCAUUCACAUCAAUGGGAGGAGCUGUUGACAAAGAAAUAAACAAAGGCAAAGGACCAUAUGUUUUUAGACUGCAUGGCCAGAACUACCACCAUAUCGGAAGUCUACUACCUGAAGAAGGUAACAAACCUCGAUUCGCCCAGCUAUACAUCUAUCAGACAGAAAAUGAGGUUCAAAACAGGAUAGAUGCUUCAAGAUGCAAUGAUAAAAAAUCAACGGUGAACACUGCCAUUGUCGAAAAACUACAAAAUAUGCUUGAUGAGAACAACAUCCUCGCGAAAUCUUUCAGAAUGGCAAGAGAUAGAUUCAAAGAAGAAGACUACCACGAUUACACACUUCGGAUACUUGGGAAAAGGAACGGAACACACAACCUUCCAUCUGCAUCGGAAGUUGCAGCAUUGGUUGUAAGAGAUCCAACUGGAGAAAGUGAAGGACGGGACAUUGUUGUCGAGUACAAAAA
rnacentral:lncRNA from 1 species